UGGGGAAUAUUGCGCAAUGGGCGGAAGCCUGACGCAGCGACGCCGCGUGGGGGAUGACGGCCUUCGGGUUGUAAACCUCUUUCGACCUCGACGAAGCCUUUUGGGGUGACGGUAGGGGUGGAAGAAGCACCGGCCAACUACGUGCCAGCAGCCGCGGUAAUACGUAGGGUGCGAGCGUUGUCCGGAAUUAUUGGGCGUAAAGAGCUCGUAGGCGGUGUGUCACGUCGGCCGUGAAAACCUGCAGCUUAACUGUGGGCGUGCGGUCGAUACGGGCAUCACUGGAGUUCGGCAGGGGAGACUGGAAUUCCUGGUGUAGCGGUGAAAUGCGCAGAUAUCAGGAGGAACACCGGUGGCGAAGGCGGGUCUCUGGGCCGAUACUGACGCUGAGGAGCGAAAGCGUGGGGAGCAAACA
rnacentral:rRNA from 1 species